ensembl:lncRNA
AUUUGACAACAGCAUACGGCAAAAAUGAUCUAGUUCCAACGAUAAAUGCCUAUCUCAUAUCUGAGAUAAACUGAGGUUUCCAUGUUUCCCAGAUUUUUCUGGCACUUAAGUGCACCACGAGGCCAUGUGGUGAGAAUUAGCUCAGUGCCUUGAAAGUUGCUGGGUUACACCGACUGCUACACGGCCCUUUAUGCGCGUAAAAUGUAUCGGGAUCAUUUUACAUUUCUUAAUUGCGGAGACAGCUCGUGGUGUUGGCAGUAGUUGUAUGGAGAAGUGGAUUUUAAUGAAGUGCAGUUCUCUUACCCCACUGGAACUUCAGCAAGCACAAGCUGGAUGAUAGCA